AUUGAACGCUGGAGGCAGGCAUAACACAUGCAAGUCGAACGAGUGGCGGACGGGUGAGUAAUGUCUGGGAAACUGCCUGAUGGAGGGGGAUAACUACUGGAAACGGUAGAUAAUAAAGCAUACCAUCAGAUGUGCCCAGAUGGGAUUAGCUAGUAGGUGGGGUAACGGCUGACCUAGGCGACGCUCCCUAGCUGGUCUGAGAGGAUGACCAGCCACACUGGAACUGAGACACGGUCCAGACUCCUACGGGAGGCCGCAGUGGGGAAUAUUGCACAAUGGGCGCAAGCCUGAUGCAGCCAUGCCGCGGGUAUGAAGAAGGCCUUCGGGUUGGAAAGUACUUUCAGCGGGGAGGCGUUACCCGCAGAAGAAGCACCGGCUAACUCCGUGCCAGCCGCCGCGGUAAUAC
rnacentral:rRNA from 1 species